AAAGUCGUAACAAGGUUUCCGUAGGUGAACCUGCGGAAGGAUCAUUAACGAGAUUGCCUUUUAGGCAUUUCAAAUCAAACACUUGUGAAUUUAUAUUAUUUGCUUUGGUCGGCAACGGCCAAAAGUAUAAACUCUAUAAAAAUGUUUUUCUGAACUGGUUUUAUAAAUAUUUAAAACUUUCAACAACGGAUCUCUUGGUUCUC
rnacentral:misc_RNA from 1 species